GCAGUGAUGGCUCAGUGGUUAAGGCUCUGGGUUACUGUGCAGAAGGUCAGGAGAUCAAUCCCCAGUCACUGUU